UACGUAGGGCGCAAGCGUUGUCCGGAAUUAUUGGGCGUAAAGAGCUCGUAGGCGGUCUGUUACGUCCGCUGUGAAAACCCAGGGCUUAACCCUGGGCUUGCAGUGGAUACGGGUAGACUAGAGGCAGGUAGGGGAGAAUGGAAUUCCCGGUGUAGCGGUGAAAUGCGCAGAUAUCGGGAGGAACACCGGUGGCGAAGGCGGUUCUCUGGGCCUGACCUGACGCUGAGGCACGAAGGUCAGGGGAGCAAACGGG
rnacentral:rRNA from 1 species